UAUUAUUUUAACGUUGCCGAAGACAGUAGGUGCAGAUUUCCUGCGUAAGUCCUACCGAGGUGGAAAAAUGGUUUAUAGCAAUAUUGCGUUUAAUAAAGCCUUUCUUUCCCCUGCUUAUCGGCAGAGGAUUUUUUUAU
rnacentral:sRNA from 1 species